ACUCUGGGAUAAGCCUGGGAAACUGGGUCUAAUACCGGAUAGGAGCGCCCACCGCAUGGUGGGUGUUGGAAAGAUUUAUCGGUUUUGGAUGGACUCGCGGCCUAUCAGCUUGUUGGUGAGGUAAUGGCUCACCAAGGCGACGACGGGUAGCCGGCCUGAGAGGGUGACCGGCCACACUGGGACUGAGACACGGCCCAGACUCCUACGGGAGGCAGCAGUGGGGAAUAUUGCACAAUGGGCGCAAGCCUGAUGCAGCGACGCCGCGUGAGGGAUGACGGCCUUCGGGUUGUAAACCUCUUUCAGUAGGGAAGAAGCGAAAGUGACGGUACCUGCAGAAGAAGCACCGGCUAACUACGUGCCAGCAGCCGCGGUAAUACGUAGGGUGCGAGCGUUAUCCGGAAUUAUUGGGCGUAAAGAGCUCGUAGGCGGUUUGUCGCGUCUGUCGUGAAAGUCCGGGGCUUAACCCCGGAUCUGCGGUGGGUACGGGCAGACUAGAGUGCAGUAGGGGAGACUGGAAUUCCUGGUGUAGCGGUGGAAUGCGCAGAUAUCAGGAGGAACACCGAUGGCGAAGGCAGGUCUCUGGGCUGUAACUGACGCUGAGGAGCGAAAGCAUGGGGAGCGAACAGGAUUAGAUACCCUGGUAGUCCAUGCCGUAAACGUUGGGCACUAGGUGUGGGGACCAUUCCACGGUUUCCGCGCCGCAGCUAACGCAUUAAGUGCCCCGCCUGGGGAGUACGGCCGCAAGGCUAA
rnacentral:rRNA from 1 species